rnacentral:lncRNA from 1 species
GAUAAGCACUCAAACAACAGAAAACCUUUCAAAUGCAGCAAACGAUGCCCUACCAACCGAGAGUACUGUACCAACGACGGUUUACCUGGCAGAUCUAGUUUCAAAAAGUGGUCAAGCUUCUUGCAACUCCUUACUUUGUCGUUUACCAACGUGCAGGUGCGCUGGAACGGAUAUUCCAGGUGGUUUAUUUAAAAAUAACACGCCCCAAGUUAUCUUGUUAACUUUUGGUGACAGCGUUACAUCGCAAAACGUUCAGCUUCACAAAGAUUUGCUUGACGGAGUUACCAAUUUCAAUGGAUGUCCAAUUAAAGCCACUUUUUUUGUUUCUGGAGAUAACGCAAAUUACACCUUAGUAAAGACGCUCUACGAAAACGGACAUGAACUAGCCGAUCACUCAGUAUCUCAAAGGGUUCCUCCAGAGUGGUGGAGCGCAAAUGUAUGUUAUAAAA